AAGCAAAUAAAAAAUCUGAAAAAAUUUUAAAUAUAUUGUAUAUGAGACUAUGUGAGAAUGUAUUAAAUGUACUGUGUAUAAUAAAAUAUACAAAAAUAUUAUACAAAGAGAAAAUUUGACUUAUGAGAAGAAAAACUAUUAGUAAAACUAUAUUUUUAUUGCAUUUUAUGAGUAAGAAAACGAUCAUUGUAUGAUUAAAUAUAACAUGUUAUCUUUGAUUUUGAUAUUUUGAUUUUUUCUGAUAUUUUCUGAUUUUUAUUUGCAUUCAUUAAUUUAAAAUUUUCAAUAAAGUCACGCGACUUUAGCCAACAAAUCGCAGCAAAAAGCUUCUGCGUAUGCAUUUCGAUGGUACAUGGUUCUCCAUGCCGCAACGGUCAUCAUGACUCGUCAUCGACAGUGCAAUUGAGCCAGUUGAGUGUAGUGGUCAUGGUCAGUGGUAGUGGUGUAAUACUUUGCAAGUGCCGUGUUUUUAUAUGUAAUAUUUUUACAUUGAACUGGAGUAUUUUACAUAAUAUCGGAUCUCCGUGGAUAAAAAAACCUCAGGAAAUUGUGGAAUAAUAUCGCCAAACAGUGGUAAAUUAGAACUUCUGGUUCAACAACUACUACCAAGGUCGUAGAGUAUAAAAGAAAUUGUGGGAUAAUAUUGCCAAACAUUGGAAACAAUACGAGAGCAAGCAUUUCAUAUUUUAUUGUUGACAGACCUCGCAUAUUUUAUUUUAUAAGUUCCCUCGAAGAGGUGUAUGAACGGUUCGUUUUAUGAACAUAUAUAAAAUAUGUUAGAUAUUUGCAGAUAUUGCUAAUUGAAGAAACUAUCAUUUACUUACAUUUAAAUUAAAAUUUUAGAAUAUACAAUCUCUAAUUAUUAUAG